CCUCCGCGAGAAAGCCGCCGCAUCCCCACCCCUUUCCCACACAAAGACUCUACCCUUAUAGACGAGCUGAGGAACAGCCUACUUGCCCGUUUUGCCCUCAGCGCCAUCUCCUGGGGAGGGCGGCAGCCAGCUGGCAGCGAGGGGCACACCCGACUGCUGGACUGGGGCUGGCUCCGCCGCAACUAAUCUCCAUCACACCGAGCUCCGCGUCCCCGGGUCGGAGCUGCGGCGCGUGGCAGAGAACGCGCCCGGCUCCCUACUGCUCCUUGUGUGGGUUAGGAGCCCGCAACAGUUCUUGCUUGUCCCCGAGGUAGGAAGUUUCAUGCCUACAGGCUGUCCAGCUCUUCCUUCCCGAAGCGCGGCGGAGUGCCUUUCCCUGACGCAUCCUCCUCGGCUCCGAAGUGAGGGCUCCGGCUCUGAAGUCUCAGACGGCGAGGGUUUGUGCAUCUCUGAGCUCUCAAACCCGGUGCUCAACUCAGCAACAAACACCACGCACCAGUGGAGCAGUCUGGGACCCUUCCGGCAGCCACAAAAUAGCAUCGCCAGAGCCGGGUUCUGGAAUUAUGUAUGCAAGCAGAAGGGCUCCCAGUUCUCAUUGUCACGCACACUAAGUAGUUCUUCAAAACGCAGACACUCUUCAAAGUGGCACUCUUCAAAGAAAGUCCUUAUGUUCAGAAAAGAAGCAAAGCAACUGGAAAAAGAAUGUCAAGCUACUAUCCUGAACAGCAGUUUCAGGGUGAUUCUGGAAUAGACACAGUAGGAUCCUCUGAUCCCUCUUCCUCCCCUCACCACACUCCAGGAAGACACCUCCUCUUAAAAGGAUAUCAGCUCAAGGCAAAACUCUUCUUAGGGUGCAAAGCUGGAAUAAAACUGGAACUAUGCAGCUUGGAUGAAAGAGUUUAAGAGUGGGACAGGACUCCAGUGAUGAGCCUCCAUUGGAGCCAUCUGACUGCUAGGAAUGCCAUAAAAGAUGCUGUAGGGGUGAGCCACCACAGAUCAGAAACAGAAGAGCUCUGACAAGUAUCUGGAUUUUUAGUAGGGUUGAAGGAGUUAGGGAGCAGACAUUACAUGCACUGAAAGAGAGAAGAGAGAUCAGAGAGGCAGAGCACAACAAGCCAGGACUGGCUGGGCAAAAGGCACAAGACUGAGUUUCAGCAGAGGAAAUGUGGACAGUGAACAGAGCAAAGACUGGAUAUGAAACAAAAUAAAUCUACAUGACCUCAUGUAGAUUUACACAACUUCAUGUAGAUGCCAGGAAAAAUGGAACUUAGACAAUAAAAUAGGUCCAUUAAAGAAAAAAGAACCAGAGCGUUUUGGGAAAUGGGCAGAGAAGCCCUCCAGUAAACGUAAUUUUAAUUUGGAGCUCAAGAUUUUCUGGUCUUCCUCUACUGACAGCAAAUCCUUGUCAGCUUCAUAAAGCACAUCUUACUUCCCUUCCUGUGCCAGAUACCGCCAGAAGCAGAAUUGAGGGGCCUGUUUUAAUGUCUGUUACUUCGUACCUAAUAAAGGAAGAAACUUGCACUUCCCUGACGAUUAAAUAGAGAGAAAAAUUCAAAGUUCUACAACCUGCUACACAAAACAAAUUACUUUCAACUAACUAAUCUUCCUUCUGAGAAGUAUCUUAAUGAAGCAGUUUUUCAAAAUCCAAUACGUGGAGGCUUGAUUACAUAUGGGUGAAGUCUUCCAUCCCUGAAGUCACAGUCCAUCACAAAAAUAUGCAUACAGAAGUGUUUGCUGUACACUGCACAGCAUGGUGCUGGACUGUAGCUCUGAAAGCACAAGUUGAAAGCAAUGGAGAAGUAACUGGAAGGAGAAACAGACUCUGCUGAACAAUUAAGACAAUAAUGAACACACUGCUGGUGGAGCAAUUCUGCUACACUGGAAGGAUCAUAAAUAAGUGGCUUUGAUGCAGAAAUCAUUAGUGACUAGAAUGCCUUCCGGAAGGCAUAAAAACACAAUCAGUGCAAUACAAGCACCAGCAACUUUGAAUUUCUUGCUCAGCAAUUGUAAGCAUAUUGUUUAUAUGAAUGCAAGUCUAUUUGUACAUUUCAGUACUUAACUUCCAGCCCUGUCAUUUACAGACUAUCUCUCCCCAACAACAUGUUUCAAAUGCUUUCUAUGGGCUACACUUCCUGGCCUCUGUCCUGCAGCUUAGAGAACAAAAGAAUUAGACGAACUGUCUAUGAGACAUAUGAGGGAAUGUAUGAUCAAUAUUGUUAACAGCUGAGGCAUGACUGUAAUAAUAAACACUGCAUGAUGACCACAAAGCAAUGCCUGUCCCCCUGGACACCAGGCACAAUGGUAAGUAGAGAAAAUCCUGUAAGAGAAACAAAAGUAGGCCUUGGUGGAGCACCAGUUAACAGACACAGUACUUAGAGCCUCCUAGGCAAUUAAUUGAAGUUGUACCCAGCAGAGAAGCUCCCUACCCAAGAAUGUCCUAAUGAGAUUGGGAGAAUGGUACAAGAUGAUCAGCCAUGUAAGCAAGUCUUCUGCAUCCACUCGAAGCAGUGAGCCACUGCUGCGAUAAGAAUGGAAUGUGCAAUCCAGUUGAAAACUCGAGCAUAAUCUAAUACAGAACUGUUUUGAUAAAUGAGUAAAAGUCAGAAACCACACACCAGACAUAGAACACAACGUGUCAAAUGCGCUGGCACAGGCAUAAAAGCCAGUUGGUAGGAGUACAUUGAGGCUGAAGCCUCCAGAUGAUAAACCUGAGCUAGCUGUCACCAGCAACCAAGCUUACAGUUAAUUUCUGAAACAAGAUUAGCGAUAGUGUUUCCAUGCAGUUGGCACAGAAGCUUCUCAGAUUACAGUGCCAACAACAUACAUUCACUAGAGCCAGCAAUUACAAAAAAAUUCUCCACCCCACCAGACCUUGAAGGACAGAGACCAACUUAGGUUUCUUCAUUCUCAUGAAGGGGAGAAGUUUCAUUCAAUAGUUCAAAUCCCUACAGAGGCUACUUAUUAAUUCUGUGAG